GGGCGGACUUGACCGGGAGCGUAGUCCUCUCCUGUCACCGUAAACGGACUUCAGACGGGGUGACGCCGCCGAGCAGCACAGUUUGGACAGACGAGUCCUUCGCCGUACAGCGACGUCCUGUCCGAUAGGAUUGUCGCUGCACGAACCGCGCCAGGCCCGGAAGGGAGCAACGCUUAGUGUAGUUCUCAAUGCUUAUCGGGUCGCGGGACUGAGGAAAGCGAGGGAUUCACUCGCCUGUUCAGAUUAUGUUCAUCGGCAGCUUGUCCGCCC
rnacentral:SRP_RNA from 1 species